rnacentral:rRNA from 1 species
UACGUAGGGUGCAAGCGUUAUCCGGAAUUAUUGGGCGUAAAGAGCUCGUAGGCGGUUUGUCGCGUCUGCUGUGAAAACUGGAGGCUCAACCUCCAGCCUGCAGUGGGUACGGGCAGACUAGAGUGCGGUAGGGGAGAUUGGAAUUCCUGGUGUAGCGGUGGAAUGCGCAGAUAUCAGGAGGAACACCAAUGGCGAAGGCAGAUCUCUGGGACGGUAUUGACGCUAAGGCGCGAAAGCGUGGGGAGCAAACAGG